UACGUAGGGCGCAAGCGUUAUCCGGAAUUAUUGGGCGUAAAGAGCUCGUAGGCGGUUUGUCGCGUCUGCCGUGAAAGUCCGGGGCUCAACUCCGGAUCUGCGGUGGGUACGGGCAGACUAGAGUGCAGUAGGGGAGACUGGAAUUCCUGGUGUAGCGGUGAAAUGCGCAGAUAUCAGGAGGAACACCGAUGGCGAAGGCAGGUCUCUGGGCUGUAACUGACGCUGAGGAGAGAAAGCGUGGGGAGCGAACAGG
rnacentral:rRNA from 1 species